CCAACAGGGAUUGCCCUAGUAACGGCGAGUGAAGCGGCAACAGCUCAAAUUUGAAAUCUGGCGUCUUCGGCGUCCGAGUUGUAAUUUGCAGAGGGCGCUUUGGCAUUGGCAGCGGUCCAAGUUCCUUGGAACAGGACGUCACAGAGGGUGAGAAUCCCGUACGUGGUCGCUAGCCUUUACCGUGUAAAGCCCCUUCGACGAGUCGAGUUGUUYGGGAAUGCAGCUCUAAAUGGGAGGUAAAUUUCUUCUAAAGCUAAAUACUGGCCAGAGACCGAUAGCGCACAAGUAGAGUGAUCGAAAGAUGAAAAGCACUUUGGAAAGAGAGUUAAAAAGCACGUGAAAUUGUUGAAAGGGAAGCGCUUGCAGCCAGACUUGCCUGUAGUUGCUCAUCCGGGUUUCUACCCGGUGCACUCUUCUACGGGCAGGCCAGCAUCAGUUUGGGCGGUUGGAUAAAGGUCUCUGUCAUGUACCUCCUUUCGGGGAGAACUUAUAGGGGAGACGACAUGCAACCAGCCCGGACUGAGGUCCGCGCAUCUGCUAGGAUGCUGGCGUAAUGGCUGUAAGCGGCCCGUCUUGAAACACGGACCAAGGAGUCUAACAUCUAUGCGAGUGUUUGGGUGUCAAGCCCGAACGCGUAAUGAAAGUGAACGGAGGUGGGAACCUUUCGGGGUGCACCAUCGACCGAUCCUGAUGUCUUCGGAUGGAUUUGAGUAAGAGCAUAGCUGUUGGGACCCGAAAGAUGGUGAACUAUGCUUGAAUAGGGUGAAGCCAGAGGAAACUCUGGUGGAGGCUCGCAGCGGUUCUGACGUGCAAAUCGAUCGUCAAAUUUGGGCAUAGGGGCGAAAGACUAAUCGAAC
rnacentral:rRNA from 1 species